rnacentral:sRNA from 1 species
ACUCAUUUGUUUAUUAUAUUGUUUAUGACUGCUUUCAUGCUACCAUGGCCAAGUUGAAUAGAAACUGCAUGGCUCUCAAAGCCCAAAAUAUUGACUAUCUGACCCUUUACGAUAAAGCCUGCUGACCACUUAGGGAGACUUCUUCCAGUUAAGAAAAAAACAAACCCAUUUAAUUUUAAAAUUGCUUUUACUAAUUGUUUAAGUGUGAAGAGUGUUUUAUUAUGGUGUUUUUUCCUUUUCAAAGUUAUCUUACUCUUUUGCAGUAAUGCCUGAAAACUCAAACUUUCCAUAUCGGCGGUAUGACCGGCUCCCUCCAAUCCAUCAAUUCUCCAUAGAAAGUGACACGGAUCUCUCUGAGACUGCAGAGUUGAUUGAGGAGUAUGAGGUUUUUGAUCCUACCAGACCUCGACCAAAAAUCAUUCUUGUUAUAGGUGGUCCAGGAAGUGGAAAGGGUACUCAGAGUUUGAAAAUUGCAGAACGAUAUGGAUUCCAAUACAUUUCUGUGGGAGAAUUAUUAAGAAAGAAGAUCCACAGUACCAGCAGCAAUAGGAAGUGGAGUCUUA